rnacentral:rRNA from 1 species
UACGUAGGGGGCAAGCGUUGUCCGGAUUUAUUGGGCGUAAAGAGCUCGUAGGCGGUUUUGUCGCGUCUGCUGUGAAAAACCCGAGGCUCAACCUCGGGCCUGCAGUGGGUACGGGCAGACUAAAAGUGCGGGUAGGGGGAGAUUGGAAUUCCUGGUGUAGCGGUGGAAUGCGCAGAUAUCAGGAGGAACACCAAUGGCGAAGGCAGAUCUCU